rnacentral:rRNA from 1 species
GUGUCAGCAGCCGCGGUAAUACGGGGGGAGCAAGCGUUGUUCGGAAUCACUGGGCGUAAAGGGCGUGUAGGCGGUCGGGUAAGUGGGAUGUGAAAGCCCCGGGCUCACCCCGGGAUCGUCAUCUCAAACUGCUCGGCUUGAGUACAGGAGAGGGUGGGGGAAUUCCAGGUGUAGCGGUGAAAUGCGUAGAUAUCUGGAGGAACACCGGUGGCGAAGGCGCCCACCUGGCCUGCUACUGACGCUGAGGCGCGAAAGCUAGGGGAGCAAACGGGAUUAGAUACCCCGGUAGUCC